rnacentral:rRNA from 1 species
CAGGACGAACGCUGGCGGCGUGCCUAACACAUGCAAGUCGAGCCGAUGAAGCUUCUUCGGAAGUGGAUUAGCGGCGGACGGGUGAGUAACACGUGGGUAACCUGCCUCAUAGUGGGGAAUAGCCUUUCGAAAGGAAGAUUAAUACCGCAUAAGAUUGUAGCUUCGCAUGAAGUAGCAAUUAAAGGAUUUAUUCGCUAUGAGAUGGACCCGCGGCGCAUUAGCUAGUUGGUGAGGUAACGGCCCACCAAGGCGACGAUGCGUAGCCGACCUGAGAGGGUGAUCGGCCACAUUGGAACUGAGACACGGUCCAGACUCCUACGGGAGGCAGCAGUGGGGAAUAUUGCACAAUGGGGGAAACCCUGAUGCAGCAACGCCGCGUGAGUGAUGACGGUCUUCGGAUUGUAAAGCUCUGUCUUUAGGGACGAUAAUGACGGUACCUAAGGAGGAAGCCACGGCUAACUACGUG